UUUUCUUCACGGUGGACAGCAGUCCACGACUGCUUCUUCUCUUCUUCUCCCUUUCUUCUCUCUUCUUCAUUUCUUCUUCUUCUUUCUUCUGCCGAGCGACCCACAGAGAGAUCGAGAUAGAGAUGAGAGGCCGAGAGAGAUUCAGGGGAGAUUGAGAGAGUGGAGAGACAGAGAGAUGAGACCGAGAGAUGUGAGAGCCGAGAGAUGUCGAGAGAGAGAUGAGAUCGGGAAGUUGAGGAGUGAUCGGAGCCCGAUCCUCCGGUGGGUGGCGCCGACGAGACCAGAGGACGCCGACGACGCGAUCUCCGGUGAGCCCGUGAACCAGAGAUGACCCGGGUGAGAGAGAACCCGAAACCCGUAGAAACCGUGACCCGAAGUCUAGACCCGGACCCGAUCCUCCAUUAACGAACUCCGGCGAACCAGUGAUGGAUCGGCGGCCUGAGAUGCGGUUUCCGGCAACCCGUGAGCCCAGAAAACCCAAGGACCCGUGACCCGCCUGACCCUAGAGGAAGACCCGAUUCUUCAUGGCGUUUUCCGGCGGCUUUUCCGGCGGUCCAGUAGCGAUUUCCGGUGGAUUUGUUGAGGAAAAUCCCUAAGGAUCAUGUUCGGAUUGGAGACUUUAAUUGGUUCUCCAAUGUAGAGUCCAAGUGACUAGAGUCCAAGGAGUGUUCGAGUUGGAGUCUAAUGCAGCCAAGAUGAUGUUUCUUUGGCUGCAGGUACUACGGUAUAGUCGAUGGGUCGGUAGCAGUGUGCUUGGGAUAUUAUGACUGAAGCUCACCGCGACAGUUGUAAUUGUCGGAUCACGGGUUGUCCACUAUUUUAUAGGUUUGGUAUGGCUUGUGACGUUUGUGUCACUUAUUAAUUGUUAAGCCAUUAUUGUUAUAGUGUUAAUAAGACUCAAACAGAUAGAUGUUAAAUGGCUCUUUGUUGUAAUUAAUUUGUGAUAGAUGUAUAAGUUGUAAUUUCCGCUAUUCAGAUUUAUGUUUUCCGCUGCA